rnacentral:rRNA from 1 species
CCUACGGGAGUCAGCAGUGGGGGAUAUUGCACAAUGGGGGAACCCUGGUGCAGCGACGGCGCGUGGGGGGAGGAGUGCUUCGGGAUGUAAAGACCUAUCGGCAGGGAAGAAGCAAGACGGUACCUGACUAAGAAGCCCCGGCUAACUACGUGCCAGCAGCGGCGGUAAUACGUAGGGGGCGAGCGUUAUCCGGAUUGAAUGGGUGUAAAGGGGGCGUAGGCGGCCAUGCAAGCCAGGGGUGAAAGCCCGGGGUCCAACCCCGGGACUGCCGUGGGAACUGGAUGGCUGGAGUGCAGGAGUGGCAGGUGGAAUUCGUGGUGUAGCGGUGAAAUGCGGAGAUAUCAUGAGGAACACCGGCGGCGAAGGCAGCCUGCUGGACCGCGACUGACGUUGAGGCUCGAAAGCGUGGGGAGCGAACAGGAUUAGAUACCCGUGUAGUC